CUCUGGCGGCCAACGGAGGGCGAAAAGCACCGGCCCGAGGCGAGGCCGCCCCACCCCCUCGGCCGUGGGCGAGGGCCCUCAGGCCCGGGGCGAGGCCUGCCCUUCUAGGCCCUGCGUGCCUUUCUGCUCGGGCGUUGCUUCGCUGCUGGGGCCCCACAAGCUUUAUCAGCUAGUAAAUAAAUAUGGCUGGAUAUGAACCUCUGCUAGUCUCCACACAGAAUCUGUAGCUGGGAGCAAAACCUUUUCUCAAUUUCAAAACGUCUUUGUCUGACUUCUUACCUUAUUCGUGCAGAACAAACAGUCAAACAACUAUUUCCAUAUGAAUCCAGAUGCUGUUUUGAUUCUGACUCCACCUGAGGAUAGCGGAUUAGAUGGAGACACUGCUUCCAGUCUGACGGAAUGAUUUCAGCUGGUCCAGCCUGACUCAAAUUCACCUUUACUCUGACGAAUUAGACACGUCAGUUCUCUGGUACUUCUGCCAUGAAGUUAGUCCCUUGAACUUGAGCCAGAGAACCACUCCAAUUCCUGUUUGAACUCUGGAAUUCCCAUGUCAUUGGGCCUUACCCUGCCCUCCUUUGAAAUUCUCUCUCGUCUUUCUCUCUCUCUGUCCUUCAUCAUUCUCACCAGACAAGUAGGAGCUGUAUACCGAGUUAACUUUGAACAUCUAUAAAUGGCAAAUACAUGUUCA